CUCAGUUUCUCUGGGGUCCGUGGAGCUACCUGGUGUUUAUGUGUGUCUCCCGACACUAACGUCACCUGGAGGCCUUGGCAUGUUCCCUGCUUUCCUAUGUGGUCCCUGUAAAGUAAGAACUGUCCUUCUCUUCUACCACCUGAUCCAACAUAGGCAAGCAAGGGCCAGGCCAAGCCAACAAUCAAGGUGUGCUCCGCUACUGAGCUAGCUUCCGUGCCUGAGAGGAAGGUCAAGGAAGGCUGCUGCUUCUUUGGUGCCAAGGAGACAGGAUCUGCAUGUGAAAGGGGCACUCUGUGAGCUGCUCUGAGCCAUGGAUCCAACCCCAGAGCUGCUCCUGAGCUCGGCGGGCAGCAUCCUGAAGCAGAGAGAGAGAACUUAGGAUGAAAUUCCUGGGCAGAAGCCACCAAGCCUCCUCGGUCCUCCUGCCCCUCUGCACACUCUUGCAAACAGCAUGGCUUCUCUGCCAGGAACACAAAGAGAGCCAUCACUGGGAGGCAGGGACCAUCUGAAUACAGCACUCAAACUCACGGCAGUUACUCCUGGACCACUGCCCAGAGCAAUCUGUGAAGCCUCAAUACCCUAGAAAUGCUUGGAUGCUAGCACCCAUCCACUUCUCUUUAAAUAACCUGAGUGACACUUCCUGAGUGCUAAGGGCCGGACACCAAUUCAGCUGCUAAGAUAAACCCUGACUGAAGUUCAGUCUUGCUUCACCUUCAAGAACUUAAUUCUAACUACAUAAAAAUCAUGUUCUCCAUCCUCCCUGCCAGGCUGGAGUACAGGCACCUGCACCACCAAGGAUAUGUGGGCUGACUAGCUUGGUUCCGAAGCAUAGAGCUGAUCUGGAAGUGCCAUAUGGUCUUCCUUGGUAGGCUGACCCAGAAGCUCCAACAUGGAUCCACACAUAGCUUCCCAGUUCCUCUUUAGACUCCACUGUCCCAGACCUUUUGUGAUCUAGGAUCAGCCUCUGA
rnacentral:lncRNA from 1 species